UUGGCUGCUGUGUUUGCACACUCUUCACCCUGCUCCUGCCCACUCUGCUUGUCACCUGCCCCCUGAUAAGCCCAUCACUCCUGAAAGAUCCUGAGUGCCUGGAUUUUGUCAUCCAGCCCUGCAGGAUGCUCCCAUUUGUCCUGAGGAAGGCUGUCCCAGACAGAGAGGAGGAGAUGGAGGUAGAUGCAAAGAUUGAUAUGGAGGAGGAGAUGGAGGUGGAUGUGGAGGUGGAAGAAGAGAUGGAAGUGGAUGUGGAAGAGUCCAUUGAGGACAUGGACAUUGAUUAAAAAGGACCGAUGGACAUCAUGGACAGAGAUGUCACCCUUUUGUACAUACCUUUUACAUUUUGUUGUUGUUAUAUAGGUUUUAGGGCUUUUUGUCUUCUGUAAAUAUGUUGCAUCUAUUUUUGCUAGAUAGGUUCUUAUGUAUAUAUGUUCUAUCAAUUGUUGUUGUUACAAAUAUUCUUACAAUGUAAAUGUGUUCUGUAUUUUUGCUGCUGUUUCUCUGUAAUAAACAAAUUUUAUUUUUCACACCCCAGUUCUCCUUGCAUUUGCUUCAGGCACAGGCAGCAUUUUGCAAAGUUGUAGUUUCCACUUGCUGCAGGUUCCCAGGGCUGGAGGUCCCUGGCAUAGCCACCCCAGGAGUGGGGGUCCCUGUGCACAGAGGGAUCCCACUGACAGAGCCCCAGGGCUAAGGAGGGUGCACUGUGCUGUGGGCAAGCCCUGCUCCUGGGCACCCUGAGGGGCUGGAGCCAGCCUGGAGGGAGCCUCAGCCCUACAUGGACCAAGAUUUCCUUUGGAAAACCCCCUCUGUCCACAGACUCUGGUGAGCACAAGAAUUGAUCCUCCUAGUUCAAGGUGUGACCUUCAUUGGCACAAAUGUGUCCUUUGCACUUUCUAGCACAGCAAAUGUCAGUGCUUGUAAUCCCUGUUCUGCACACUCUGCUCAGGCAGCAAAACAUCUGAACCUGAGGGAACAUCUUGAAUUAGCACCAACCUGCAGAGAGCUACAGGGGGAGAACCUACCCCCAAGCACCCAGAGAAAUACUUGACACUGAUAGUCUGGGGCAGAGCUGACACUAAAGUAUUUUAAUGCCAAGAGAGAGGCAAAGAAGAGAUGGAAAAGAAUAAGACAUCUUCUCAGUCAGUGGGAAUGGCUUGAAAGGGGGGCGGGGUGGGGGUGGAUUCAUGGCCAGCUGAUCCAGUUGACACCCCCUCUCUUCUGGCCAUGGCCAGAGCUGGGUGGGAUGGCCCUGGCAGGACGGUCUCCUAGGAUUCCCACAGAUCCAGGCUCUGACUGUGGCUCUGUUCCUCUCCCUUCCAGCCCUUCAAGCCCUGAGGAGAGAUGACAGCCCUUCCCAGAAAAACAUAGUUGUUAAACAGAUAUUCA